AAGUCGUAACAAGGUUUUGCUAAGCAACAGUCCUUCUGUAGCAGAGCUUAACGGAGACCUUGCACCCGAGAGGGGAGAGGCGACUAUAAAGAACUCUCAGCGCAAGUCAGCACUGCUGGCAACACAAUCGAAUUGCGGGGACGCUUUAAAGCUCACCAGUACCAACUGCUCUUCCAGGGUAGGGCUAGCCUAGCUAGAGGUCACAACUUGGUGGGAUGCUACAAUAAGCAAUCCGCAGCGGCUCAGCCGUCCACAGACUAAGUGGUUGUGGGUA
rnacentral:misc_RNA from 1 species